GACGAACGCUGGCGGCGUGCUUAACACAUGCAAGUCGAACGGAAAGGCCCUGCUUUUGUGGGGUGCUCGAGUGGCGAACGGGUGUGUCACACGGGAGUAACCUGCCCUUUACUUUGGGAUAACUUCAGGAAAUUGGGGCUAAUACCUGAUAGGUGCUCCUGCUGCAUUUUUGGGGUUGGAAAGUUUCGGCGGUUGGGGAUGGACUCGCGGCUUAUCAGCUUGUUGGUGGGGUAGUGGCUUACCAAGGCUUUGACGGGUAGCCGGCCUGCGAGGUUGACCGGCCAAAUUGGGACUGAGAUACGGCACAGACUCCUACGGGAGGCAGCAGUGGGGAAGAGUGCACAAGGGGCGGAAGCCUGAUGCAGCAACGCCGCGUGCGGGAUGACGACCUUCGGGUUGUAAACCGCUUUCGCCUGUGACGAAGCGUGAGUGACGGUAAUGGGUAAAGAAGCACCGGCUAACUACGUG
rnacentral:rRNA from 1 species